rnacentral:tRNA from 1 species
UGUCUGGCUUGAAGAAUGGCUUCAAGAACUCCGACCGCAACCAAGGCGCUUUGAUCGACG